GAGGAGUUCGCGCCUGAUUAGCUAGUUGGUGAGGUAACGGCCCACCAAGGCGACGAUCAGUAGCCGGCCUGAGAGGGCGUACGGCCACACUGGAACUGGGACACGGUCCAGACUCCUACGGGAGGCAGCAGUGGGGAAUUUUGCGCAAUGGGCGAAAGCCUGACGCAGCAACGCCGCGUGGAGGAUGAAGGCCUUCGGGUCGUAAACUCCUGUCAGGGGGGACGAAACCGGGCAACCGGCUGACUGUACCCCCGGAGGAAGCCACGGCUAACUCCGUGCCAGCAGCCGCGGUAAUACGGAGGUGGCAAGCGUUGUUCGGAAUUACUGGGCGUAAAGGGCGCGUAGGCGGCUCGGCAAGUCAGGUGUGAAAGCCCCGGGCUUAACUCGGGAAUUGCAUCUGAAACUGCCUUGCUUGAGUCCUGGAGGGGGUAGUGGAAUUCCCAGUGUAGCGGUGAAAUGCGUAGAUAUUGGGAGG
rnacentral:rRNA from 1 species